UACGAAGGGGGCUAGCGUUGCUCGGAAUCACUGGGCGUAAAGGGUGCGUAGGCGGAUUUCUAAGUCAGGGGUGAAAGCCUGAGGCUCAACCUCAGAAUUGCCUUUGAUACUGGAAGUCUUGAGACCGGAAGAGGUAAGUGGAACUGCGAGUGUAGAGGUGAAAUGCGUAGAGAUGGGGGAGAACACUCGUGGCGAAGGCGGCCAGCUAGACCAGUUCUGACACUGAGGCGCGACAGCGUGGGGAGCAAACAGG
rnacentral:rRNA from 1 species